GAUCCUGUUCUUCCUGUCUGUGAGGUGGACAGAUUGGGAAUGUCCAGGUCUAGCUUGAAUUUCACAUCCAGCCAUUGGCUGCCACCAUGGUCAGGGGCUCCUGCACAUGGACGGCCAUUUCCCCUCCCGGGAGCAGGCAGGUGGCCAGCAGCCCCAGAACACCCUGGACACCUGUUUCCAUAGGCUUGGAUGACAUGGUGAUGCUCUCUGUGCCUUUGAGGAUGGCGCCCUAUGUCUUUGUAUAGUAAAUCCCACCUUGUCCUCUCCAGUUGAAACAGCCAUUUCCCAAAUUCCAAUCUGAUGAAAUCCUGUUCUUCCUUCCCUCGUGUUUCUCUAGGCCUCCUGUGGACUCCCAGGAUGUGAAGUCGGCAUUCCCUUGAGCCUCUUGGGAACAUAUAAGCACAUUGCCCAAAGUCCACCUAACUCCAGGUGUAUCCUGUAGAACUAGCAUUCUAAUUCCUAAUUUUAAAGAUCUCACAGGACACAGGGUGUGUGUAAAAAGCCUGCCGCAAACCAGAGUGCCUGAUUUGAGUACUAAUGAGAUGGAGGAAAGAAGCUGUGAGUGCAGAUGACGAAUCCCUAAGUGAGUGGCCCCAGAGCCAAAGGUGUUUGUCACACAGAGAGAGUGACUACCCAGGGAAGGAGCUCAGACUCGGCUGGACAAGCCCUGCAGGGACAGCCGUGUCCCAGCCUGGCCAGGAGGGUUGGGCGCUCUGGGCGUGUGCCUCAUGUCUGCUUGAUUCUCCUCCGGCCGAGUUCCACACAGGUGAAUUGUGCUCAUUCUUGCCUCCCCAAGGCCUAGAUCAGAGUUCCUCAAGCUUUGGGAUACAAACAAAUCACCUGGGAUUUUCAUAAAAUGCAGAUUCGUGUUCAGCAGCCCUGGCGUUCUGCAUUUCUCACGAGCUCCACGGGCUGCUGACGCUGCUGGGGCACGACCACACUUUGGGUGGCAAGGGCUUGGCAAGCAAUUCCAGGUGUCGCCUUAGAGAUGGCCUGCUAUCGCACUGUCAGUAGGUAGCUGCCACAGUGACGGCCACUCCAGAGCAAGGGGGCAGAACUUUUUGAAAAGGGUCCUUGAAUCAUUUGGGAAAUAACCCAUAUGAGUAAAAAGUAAUCAAAAAAUAUGUUGGAUGUUAGAGCCAGAGGAACUAUUAGCAUCAUUUUGUAAAGACUCCCUCCACGAGUUUUCCAGAUGAGGAAACUAACAAAGCCGGUGGCCUGUGGCGGAAGAGCGAGACGCUGGCGAGGUCUCCCUGCUGCACUCCCGUGCACUUCCACAGUGAUACCCUGCUGAGACGCACAGCAAAUGUUGACCGUAACUGUCUUUAAAUUAAGACCGUGACUGUCCCGAACGUUUAUAAGGCGCAAACCGUGAGAAAAAGGCGUGUACCAGCAAUCAGAAGAUGCUUUUGUCCACGUGCAACCUUGGACAACUCUUCAGCUGCUCUGUGGAACCUCAGCCCACUCUGAAAUGAACAGCCACAGUGGCAGGGGUUACUGAAUGGGCUGGGAAUGGCAAUGAAGAUUCAUCUCUUCACAUGCUUUUUAUGCCCUCAAUCAAAAAUGCCUCAGGCUGUGUAAAAUUCCAUAAAUAAUAAAGAGAUUUUUUUAAAUAUG